AUGGCAACGCGGGCGAGACGGCACCCGGCCGGGGGAUGCGCGAUGUGCCGCGCUCCGCUCCGACCGCCAGGACCUCGGGACGGGGCCGGGCCGGGAUUCGGCACCUGUAAGGCUCCCGGGAAGCCGCAGCCACGCCGGUGUGAGCUGCACGUUAUGCCGAGAUACUACGGAGGGGUGGAAAGGUCUCAGCUCCAUCGAUCCCAGGGCAGCUCCUCAAGCUGUUGAUGCACUGUGCGGCUGUGGCACGAGAGGUGAGGCCGAUGGGAUGGAGGUGGCACUGAGGGACCGUGCCCCAGGAACUCACACCUGCAGCAGCAGCAGCCCUCAGAUGGAGCUGCACACCCACAUCUCAUCCAAAUGUGUGAAGAGCCGUUUCAAGCUGCUCCUCCGCCCCCCGACCUCUGCUCCAUUCCCACCAGCUCAGCUCCGAGACAGAAAAGAAGGAAGGGAGAGGGCUCAUCCCAAACCAAACUCCAUCCUGCAGCCCUGGGAGGGUGGGCCCCGGUACAACUGGUGGCAGCACGGAUGGCAAUAGAGGGAGCAGCACUGAUUUACACCGCUGUUCCUGGGCCAACAGCCGGACCGCAGGGAAACUGGGUCCAAAGCUGCAGGGAAACUGCAACCCCUGCCCUGAUGUGCUGCUGCUCACAGCGGGGUGCAGAGCAGAGGGACAGCCCAAGUCUGGCAAUGAAUGGCGGUAAAGGCAAAUCCCUCCCAGCAGGCUCAGGGGAGGAAUGGAUAAAGCUUUGCUUGGGAGCAAGCAGCAGAAAGGGGAGGCCAGGUCCCCCCAGCUGCUUGCUUUGAGCCACGCCGGCUCUGCUGCCUGCACAGCCCCAUCCCGAGUGGCUGCUUUGGGAGGAGAUGAGGUGGGAGGAGGAGAUGGCAGCCCCAGGCUCCCGAAAAAUGCAGGCUGCAUUAGAACAAGCAGAGCUGCCUGAUUGAUUCUUCAGGCUGAGACGUGGGUUGGAAGUGCCAGGAGAAAAUGGAUCCUCUGAAUAUUUGAUGAACAGAGGCUCAAGGAGGGAGUUUGAUUGGAAAAUUACAGAUCUUUCAAACAAUGGUUCAAGUGCCCUCCAAACGCUUGGGUUUCCAGCUCCCUUCCAGUUAGAGGAGCAAGGCUCCACGAGGAAACACCCACACGAUUUAUGAAUGAAGCAGAGCUCCCCACACCUGGCAGCACUCAGCCCACUGAGGCCGGCAGCCCAGCAGCUCCAGCACCAGCCCAGGGACGUGGAAUUCAGGUCCUGCCAUCACUGGGGUCACCACGGCUGCAUCACAGUCCUACAAGGCACCCACACUGCCAUCAACACCAGGGCACACAAGGCUCUAUGGAGUACAUGGGGACGUGGCUCACAUGCAGAGUCCUGCUUGGGCACCCAGCCCAGAGCUCUGCUCCUGUCCCCAGCCUCCAUCCAGCUCCUCUGCACCAGGAAGCACCUGCCAGAGCACAGCCAGCGUUGCUCCCCGCCCCGACAGCAGCUCCAGGGCUGCUGAGGACUCAUCCUCAUCCCCUGAGACUGACUCCUGUCUGGGGCCCCAGGGGCUUGCUGCCUCACAGACGGGUGCAAGCAGUAAGUACAGACUCAGCUCAGGCUUCCUGAAUCCGCCUCUGCUUCCAGCCCUGAGCUUUCCGCCCUCCAUCAGACCCCAUCCCCUUUGCACGUCCCUUCCCUCCCUUCCCUUUCCCUUGCACAGGGGCAAGUGGCUAUUUCUGGCCAGGAACAAGGAAUGCCAGCAGCAGUUUCCCAAGGAAGCCCACUCUUGCUUCAGUUCCUUCCCCACCUUGUGCACUCCUGGGCUGAACCCUGAGCCCCUGCUCCCCAGGUGCCAUUGUGUGGCUGUCUGCAGCCAGGCUUUAUGACUUCCUCCAGGACAUUGGGAACAGUGCUUCACUGGGUUUUGCACCUCAAUAGAAGUACAUGGAGGGGAGUGUAGGACCCCGAGUCCCACCCCAAAAGGAGGGCCCCAAGUUACCCUAUGGGCACAAAUAUCCCUUCUUCCCCUCUGCGAGGCUCCUGUUCAGAGCUGGAGUGAUGGAGAGCAGCCGGCUCCAGAGGAGAGCAGAAACAGCAAGGUGCAAAGAUAUCAGAAGGAAUUAUCAGCAGCCAGAAGUGGAGAUGCUAAACCUCCAGCUACCCAACAGCAUCACUAGCAGGAGGAACAGAGGUCAGAAGAGCAGCCUUGAUGGGACCAGCAGAGCCUUCUGUAAGAUCCUAGAGCUUUUAGCCAAACCUCCUUUGGCAGCAGAAGCUCGUGGUGUCCAGCACCCUCCUCCAGCUGCUGCCAAAGCCAAGGGAAAGCAAGAGCCAACCCCAGGAGCACCCAUCCCCGCACCCAUCAGCAACUGCAGAGCCAGGCCUAUGUCUGGGGAGCGUUUGGCCAUGGGCCCCUGCUGAUCCCAGGACUUUCCUAAGCCCCCAUCCCAAUGACAAGGGUGUGAGUUUUGCAGAGCACACCUGACCCUUGGCGAAACCCCGUGCAGGAGCACCGGGGCUGCAGGUCUGUCUGUGCACCCAGGGAAAACACGUCUGCAUUUCAACCACCACCGACUUUUGCACGCAUAUUCCAGCCCAAAAUCUCAAGAUUCGUCUCCAUAAGAGCCAAAACCUGAAUGACCAGAAGAGGCUGCCCCAAAGCUGCCCAAACAGAAA